CCUACGGGAGGCUGCAGUGGGGAAUAUUGGACAAUGGGGGCAACCCUGAUCCAGCCAUGCCGCGUGUGUGAAGAAGGCCCUCGGGUUGUAAAGCACUUUCAGUGAGGAAGAACGCCUGGUGGUUAAUACCCACCAGGAAAGACAUCACUCACAGAAGAAGCACCGGCUAACUCCGUGCCAGCAGCCGCGGUAAUACGGAGGGUGCGAGCGUUAAUCGGAAUUACUGGGCGUAAAGCGCGCGUAGGUGGCUUGAUAAGCCGGUUGUGAAAGCCCCGGGCUCAACCUGGGAACGGCAUCCGGAACUGUCAAGCUAGAGUGCAGGAGAGGAAGGUAGAAUUCCCGGUGUAGCGGUGAAAUGCGUAGAGAUCGGGAGGAAUACCAGUGGCGAAGGCGGCCUUCUGGACUGACACUGACACUGAGGUGCGAAAGCGUGGGUAGCAAACAGGAUUAGAUACCCGAGUAGUC
rnacentral:rRNA from 1 species